AUGCUACUCCUUCCGUCCGAAAUUUUUUGUCCCAAACUUGUUUCUCAAAUGAAUGUAUCUAGCACUAACUUGGUGCUAGAUACAUCCAUUUGAGGGACAAGUUUUUCCGGACGGAGGGAGUACGAU
rfam:Triticum urartu cultivar G1812 contig304444, whole genome shotgun sequence.